rnacentral:misc_RNA from 1 species
GAAAUGCGAUAAGUAGUGUGAAUUGCAGAAUUUAGCGAAUCAUCGAAUCUUUGAACGAACAUUGCGCCCCUUGGUAUUCCAUGGGGCAUGCCUGUUCGAGCGUCAUUUCAACCCUCAAGCACUGCUUGGUGUUGGGCGUUUGUCCCGCCUACGCGCGUGGACUCGCCUCAAAGUCAUUGGCAGCUGUUCCCCUUCGGCUCGUAAGCGCAGCACAGUCGGCGCCCGGAGCUCUGGUGGGAUGGCGUCCAGCAAGCUAUAUUUUCAGGCUUGACCUCGGAUCAGGUAGGGAUACCCGCUGAACUUAAGC